rnacentral:rRNA from 1 species
GACGAACGCUGGCGGCGUGCUUAACACAUGCAAGUCGAACGGGCCUGUCUUCUUUUUUGGGGGUGGGUUGAGUGGCGAACGGGUGAGUAUCACGUGAGUAACCUGCCCUUCGGUCCUGGAUAACCGCUUGAAAGGGCGGCUAAUACGGGGUGGUCCGGUUGGUCCGCAUGGGCUGGUCGGGAUAGAUUCACUGUUUUUGGUGUUUCGGCGGGGGAUGGGCUCGCGGCCUAUCAGCUUGUUGGUGGGGUGAUGGCCUACCAAGGCGGUGACGGGUAGCCGGGCGGAGAGGGUGGGCGGCCAGACUGGGACUGAGAUACGGCCCAGACUCCUGCGGGAGGCAGCAGUGGGGGGUAUUGCACAAUGGGCGGAAGCCUGAUGCAGCGACGUCGCGUGAGGGAUGGAGGCCUUCGGGUUGUGAACCUCUGUUUCCGGUGGUGAAGGCCCUGUCCGUGUGGUGGGGUUGACGGUAGCCGGGGAUGAAGCGCCGGCUAACUACGUG